rnacentral:lncRNA from 1 species
CGUGAUUUAAGUAAGUUGGAUUUAACACCUGCGUAAGUUAACUUAUGCAAGAGUAUUUUAUAAAGUUUGGUUAGAAAUGAGCGAAACUUGAUGUGAGAAUAGCAAUUUUCAAAAUCAUAUUUGUGGGUCCACAUCGAAAUCCUUAUCUUGGCCUAACCGAAAUAGUAUUUUUGAGGUCGAAAUCCUUAUCUUUAACAAGAAAAAUCUAACGUUUAAACUUGAUGUGAGAAUACCAAUUUUCAAAAUCAUAUUUGUGGGUCCACAUCGAAAUCAUUAUACUUUUGGAUUGACCUUUUUAUUUUAAACGUUAGAUUUUUCUUGUUAAAAGUUGUGAGCGUUAGUUUUUUAUGGUUAAUGAAAUUGUAUGUUUUUUUAUACUUAAUGAUCAAAUACUUAGAAAUAGGACUGUGAAUGUUUAUUAGAGUAAGUUUGAAUGCAAUUUAGUAGUUUAGAGAUUGAAAUAAAACAAAGUACCUAUAAUGUAUAUGUUGAACUCCAAGUGUUUGAUAAAAUAUUUCAAUGAAUUGUUAUUAAUUUUUUCAUUGUUUUAUGUUGGGUAGAUAUGUCUGAGUGACCAAAUAGACAGAGACUUGGCAAUGAGACGAUGACCUCCAAUGCACACAGAGAUAGGAAGGUUGUGAACCCUCCUAAAAGGGGAUGCACUCAUAGGAAUGGCAUGGAGCGGACGUCCUUAACGGAUGCGUCCCAGAUAACGGACCCUACCCUGCACUAUGAGGAGGAGCAAUGCUACCACGUUGCUCUGGAGCACUAUGUAUACGGAGGAGCACUAGGUGCAGCCUCAAUAAUACUACAAGCAGCCUCAACAGUUUGAGGAGCCACACCACGAGGAGGCUGAGGAGGUUGAGCCUGAGCAGCAUCCGGCACCAGAUUCUCUUCUCGGAGGCCUACUGAAUUGUCGCUUUUACUGUUGUUUGCUACACAUGUUGCAUGCGUGCUUUGGAGAGACAUCGAAGUGAAUCUAAUUGUUUGUUUUUAAUGAUUGAAAUGUUUAAUUUAAUUAUUAUAAUUUUAACGGUUCAAAUGUUAUAUUGAAAUGUUUAUUUUAACUAUUAUAUUUUAACGA